rnacentral:misc_RNA from 1 species
GAUGAAGAACGCAGCGAAAUGCGAUAAGUAGUGUGAAUUGCAGAAUUCCGUGAAUCAUCGAAUCUUUGAACGCACAUUGCGCCCCCUGGUAUUCCGGGGGGCAUGCCUAUUCGAGCGUCAUUUCACCACUCAAGCCUCGCUUGGUAUUGGGCAACGCGGUCCGCCGCGUGCCUCAAAUCGACCGGCUGGGUCUUCUGUCCCCUAAGCGUUGUGGAAACUAUUCGCUAAAGGGUGUUCGGGAGGCUACGCCGUAAAACAACCCCAUUUCUAAGGUUGACCUCGGAUCAGGUAGGGAUACCCGCUGAACUUAAGCAUAUCAAUAAGCGGAGGA